GGAAGCACAAAAUCGAGUCCUCCACAGCAGACCCUCCCUCAUGAUCUAUUUUUCUUCAAGUAGGCUCCAUCACCUCGCCAUCCUGGAAUCCAAUUAUGAACUCUUCAGUGGAUUAAUUAACAGAUAAAAUCAGACUCCUCCUCACGGACCUUCCAUCAGCUCCACUUCUGAUAAUAAAUCCCAAGCACCCAACAUAUGAGGGUUUUUUUGGGAAAUAUUCCAGAUCUAGACCAUUGAAACAUCUAUGUAAAACAACGGACAGUUUAACCGAAAUGAUCCUGAAAGCAUGAAGUCUUCUAUACCUGGGAAGUGAGAUAUCUGAAAGAUAAAAAUACGCCAGAUCACAUUAAUUGCC
rnacentral:lncRNA from 1 species